rnacentral:rRNA from 1 species
GAUGAACGCUGGCGGCGUGCCUAAUACAUGCAAGUCGAGCGAACAGACGAGGAGCUUGCUCCUCUGACGUUAGCGGCGGACGGGUGAGUAACACGUGGAUAACCUACCUAUAAGACUGGGAUAACUUCGGGAAACCGGAGCUAAUACCGGAUAAUAUAUUGAACCGCAUGGUUCAAUAGUGAAAGACGGUUUUGCUGUCACUUAUAGAUGUAUCCGCGCCGCAUUAGCUAGUUGGUAAGGUAACGGCUUACCAAGGCAACGAUGCGUAGCCGACCUGAGAGGGUGAUCGGCCACACUGGAACUGAGACACGGUCCAGACUCCUACGGGAGGCAGCAGUAGGGAAUCUUCCGCAAUGGGCGAAAGCCUGACGGAGCAACGCCGCGUGAGUGAUGAAGGUCUUCGGAUCGUAAAACUCUGUUAUUAGGGAAGAACAGAUGUGUAAGUAACUAUGCACGUCUUGACGGUACCUAAUCAGAAAGCAACGGCUAACUACGUG